AACCGGGUCUGGAAAAGGUAAACCCGGAAACCCAAAUGGAAAAUAGAAGCUCUCUGAAAAGCCCCAAACUCUGCAGACACACACACACAGACGGAGAGUGUCUCAUUCACAUGCUUCUCCGAUCUCGCCCGUGAAAAUUCAGUGAUAUAAUCAUGCCAGACGUGCAUACUCUUGUGAAUGAUUUCAUUAUCAAGCUGAAAAGCGUAAAAUCGAGGGCUCGCAGGCUACGGCGAAGCAGACGGCUGAGUUACUUCGCUCGGUGAUUUCGUCGCAGCGUGUGCCCUACACGAAUCAAGCUGGAGCCUUGAUUGAUGCUGUAAAGGCUGUUGGGGAGCAGCUGAUUGCUGCAAAUGUGGAGCAUGCUGUGGGUAAUAUUGUGAGGCGCGUUUUACACAUUAUCAGAGAGGAGGAUCUUUCUCUCACCACGCUGCUAUGGCUGGGUUGAACUUGUCAACUGUCAGUGAUGAUGAAGAUGAUGUUGACCGCGACAACUAUCCUGUUCUAUCUGCUGCGGUAGUUGCAGCAGCUGCAAGAAGCACACUGCGUCCGCCUUCCUUGCAAACCCUUCUUGAAGACAUGCCUGAUGCAGCAGCUAUCCCUCACACUUCUUCAUCUGGGGGUGAUUCAGAAGGAAAAAGCACAUCUGCUGAUAAAAGUUCUAGGAGCCGGAAGCUGAAGCAUGAUGUCAUUGAAGCAGUAAAUGAACUUAUUCAAGAUAUUGGCACUUGUCAUGAACAGAUUGCUGAGCAAGCAGUAGAGCACAUUCACCAUUUAACUAUGCUCCUAGCCUUUACUAUUUAACUAUGCUGCCCGUUACUAAUUCUCGUAUUUUCUUUCAAAUAUAGAAGCUUUAUGAAGUCAUAUAUAAGCUCAAUUUUCCCCUUCAUAGUAAUUAGAGUGGUGUCGAUUUUUUGUGAGUGAGACAACUGUAUAUUUACUAUAUACUAAUUCUCAGUUAACUGUUCAUCGGCUUAGUAACAGUGCCGGGUCGAGCCGAGCCGGUUAUGUGAAAAUACCAUUUUGCCCUUCAUUCUUUGCUUAAUUGCGAUUUGCUGUUUGUCCUAGGUAUAAAAGCCGUUGGGGUCAGAGACGCGAUCUUUCUUUCUCUCUUCGUUCCUUCUCUUUGUUUUUGUCUCAGCUCUGCGUUUUUGGGUGAGAUUUAGUAGAUAAUACAACAUGAUAUACGUUUGGCCUAGGUAUAAAAGGUCUUGGGGUGAUUGACGCGAGCAUUUCCCUCUCUGUUUCUCUCUUCGUUGUAAGCUGUCGUCUCCGUAUCUGGAGAUUCUUGGGUGUGUGGCUGAUUUGGGCGAAGGGACAGAUUCUUUUGUGGUUCUUGGGAGUUUCUACAUGACUGAAGGGAAUAAGGCUUGAAGCUUUACAAACAUUGCAGCCUGGAGUGAGAUUUUUUGAUAUUUUUUUUCCCAUGGUCCACUGUAGACUGUUGAAUCAUGGAAGUAAAUUCCUUUCAAAAAUAUCAAUCUAUGAACAAUGUCAACAAUAUUGAAACGAAGUGCCUUCACGACUUAUACCUUCUCUUCUAAUACAAUUUCCCUCUCAUUUUCAGCCUGAACAAAACAUAGAGCAUACAUUGCUUCGUCACAUAAGACCGUAUCAAAUUACUUUCAAAAUCAGAGUUCGUGCAUCCAGACUGUGGAGACCGAAAAAGUAUAACAGUGACAUAUACGAUGGCCUCCAUUAUCUGUUAGUCGACGAAGAUGCAAGCUUUUUACAAUUACCAUAAUUGUUUCAAAACUCUUAACAUAACUUUCUUCAUUUCUAAGUCUGUGCAGGGACAUGCUAUUCACUGUUUAAUUGAGGAAUCUGCUUAUCCUUACAUGUCCAAGAAAAUGGAAGAAGGACAGGUGUAUGACAUUACCAAUUUCUAUAACCGAAAACCUGUAUAAAAAUAUAAACUUACUGAUCAUGUGGUAGAACUGUGUUUCAAUGAGUCAACAAAGUUUGAGCCUGUAAUGGAUGCAUUCCCUCCAAUCCCAGAACAUUCAUUUACCUUCCUUCAUUUUGACAACUUGGAGGACCAGAUGAGGACUCAGACAGUACUUAAGGAUGUUUACGGUUGUAUCAAAUCACUCAUACCAGAACAUCAAGUUACUGUCAAAGACACUGGAAAAUUGGAAUCAAAAUGUGAAAUCUUUGUAGAAAAUUUGAGGAGGGAGGAUAUCAGAAUUACCUUCUGGGGUGACAUAGCUAGAGAGUUUGAUAUGGAAAGAGUUAAACAGUUAUCCCCACCGGUGCUAGCUGUAUUCACGAGUUAAGGUUGACCAAAUUCCAAGAACCGGUAACAGCAGCAACAACAGGCCAUACAUGCAUCAUGAUCAAUCCAGAUAUUCCAAUAGCAAAUGAAUACAAAGCUGAGUCAGUCAUUUUUAUUAUAACAUUGUUGUAUCAAUCAAAUCAUUCAUCUAAAGUCAAAAUUCCAGCAUUGGCAUUUCAAAAUAUUAAUCCCAGUGUAAACAAAUUCCAGGUUCUCGAAAUCAGGUGACAAAGUGAAAAGUACCUUUCAAACGGCCAACAACAGAAGAGAUGAUAGACAAAACAACAAAGUCGGUCUUUGAAUUAAACACAUUGGAUCCAGAUAUAUACAUGUUACAAAGUUUAUGUCACCAUUCGAGAUGAUAAUAAUCAAGCAACACUCAUUCUGAUGGGGAGACGGGCAGAGCAGCUAUUUGGCAUCAAUUGUCAAAAUCUGGAGAACAAAAGACUGUAUCCAACAUAGCAGACACUACAAGAAGAGAUUAAGAAGACAACUGAUGAAACCUAUCUCCUUGAAAUCACAGUCAAUCAAUAUGCCGAGCUGAUGGUCAGAAACAUUUUCCCAAGUAAGCAAUCCUUUGCAUCGAUGGUGGAACAUAGCCCAACCACUGUAACACCGAAGCGGCUUCCAACUGAAAGAAAAAGAAACAUUGAAGCAAGUGGAAAAGCUUUGUGCAUCGUAGAGCCUGAGAAAAAAGCCAAGAACAAGAAGGAGACCAAGCGUGGAGCAAUGAUAUCGGCAUCAUCAGUGUACACCUGCAACUUAUUUGAUCUAAUUAUACCUGCGCGGACUCCAUUUUGUGUACAGCUAUAGUCAGCGAAACAACUGGAUCUUUUGGGAACUGGAGGUAUUAAUUUUUUGGUCAAACUCCAGUCCAACUUUUUGGUAAUUAGCUCAAGUUGUUUCAGCAGUGAUAACAGAUCUAAUGAUCUUUGAACAAUGGAAGCAGUUAAUUUUUUGGACAACCAGUGCCAGCUACUCUGGCUGGGUUAUACUAGCUUCCUUUGAAUCAAAUACUCUAUCAGUACUGUAUUGACUUAACUAUAUGUAGUAAUUUGUGAGUAAUGUAUAAAUUCCAUUUCUUCAUAAA